rnacentral:lncRNA from 1 species
UGAAAUGUUGCAUUAAUAAAUAACAAUAAUGAAAAUAAUAAAGACAAUUUACGAGAAUCAUAUAAUAUACUACUUUAACAUUAAUAAGAAUAAGCAAAAGAUAAAUAAAAUAAAUAAUAACAAUGGUAAUAAUGCCAAGGUAUGCACAUAAAAGGACAACCCCAACUUAAAAAAAAACAAAUAAAUACAUAAAUAAUGUAAGGAAAAAUAGUUUAUAAAAAAAUAUUGAAAGUAAAGAACCGAAUUAAAACAUAAACGAAAUUUAAAGACACAAUUUGGAAUACAAUAUGUAAAUAAAUGAAAUAAUAAAAAACCAUAAAAAUAACAAUAAUAAUAACAAUGAAAGUCAAGAAUAAAAUAAAUAAAAUAAAAACAUCAUUAAAUAUGAAAAUCAAAAUAAAAAAGAAAUGGCCAG